AUUGAACGCUGGCGGCAGGCCUAACACAUGCAAGUCGACCGAGUGGCGGACGUGUGAGUAAUGUCUGGGAAACUGCACGAUGGAGGGGGAUAACUACUGGAAACGGUAGCUCAUACCUCAUGCCAUCGGAUGUGCCCAGAUGGGAUUGGCUAGUGGGUGGGGUAACGGCUCACGUAGGCGACGAACCCUAGCUGUUCUGAGAGGAUGACGAGCCACACUGGAACUGAGACUAGGUCCAAGCGCGUUCGGUAGGCGGCAGUGGGGAAGAUGGAACAAUGGGUGAAGGCCAGAUGCAGCGCUGCCGCGAGUGUGAAGAAGGAAUUCGGUUUGCAAAGUACUUUUAGUGUGGAGGCGUUACCUUCAGAAGAAGCACCGGCUAACGCCGUGCCAGCAGCCGCGGUAAUAC
rnacentral:rRNA from 1 species